rnacentral:rRNA from 1 species
GACAGAGGUUGCAAACGUUGUUCGGAAUUACUGGGCGUAAAGCGCACGUAGGCGGUCCGUUAAGUCAUGUGUGAAAUCCCCCGGCUCAACCGGGGAAUUGCGCCUGAUACUGGCGGGCUAGAGGUCGAUAGGGGUGAGCGGAACUCCAGGUGGAGCGGUGAAAUGCGUAGAUAUCUGGAGGAACACCGGUGGCGAAAGCGGCUCACUGGAUCGAAACUGACGCUGAGGUGCGAAAGCUAGGGUAGCAAACGGG